rnacentral:tRNA from 1 species
GUCCCCUUCGUCUAGUGGCCUAGGACAUCGCCCUCUCACGGCGAAAACAGGGGUUCGAGUCCCCUAGGGGACGCCA